UAAUGAUUUAAAUUUGCCAUAAGAUGUUUUUGCAGGCACAAAGAUAAAUUAAAAAAUGAUGUUUGGCACAAAUAAUAUAUCAUUCCAAUAGAAGUUAACUCAAAAGAACUACUUCCAAAUAAACAAGGAUAGAUGCAAACUUUCCUUUUGAUCAUAAGUUUAAAGACUUUGCACUUGUCUACAGAAGCACGAUAUCCCUUUAUGGAGAUAACACUGGAAACUUACGACAGAUAUCUGACUUAGUUUCUACUUGUCCGCAAUAAUUGCAUUUGUUUGGCUUUCAAAUAUUUGGCUUUGAGUGUUCUUCAUUAAAGUUAAUUCAGAAAAAGGCUUCCGACGAAUGAAUUUUAUAUAACAUGUUAUUUAAUUAUUCUAUAUCACUGGGUCAAUACAUCUGCUGGAAACAGUCUCAGAUGGUAUCGUCAGCUCAGUAGUCAGAACUUCGGAACUGACAUCAUUUAUAUCUUGACUUACAUCUAGAAAUUGACAAUGAGGGUCGGUUGAAAACAAAACUUUACGACAAAAGAGAUGAUUUCAGCUUUCCAAUUGUGAAAUUUCCAUUUCUAAGAAGCAACAUUCCAGUAGCACCUGCAUACGGGGUAUAUAUCUCCCAAUUGAUACGAUAUUCCCGUGCUUGCAUUUCCUAUCAUGAUUUUCUUGAUAGAGGGUUACUGCUCACAAGGAAGC
rnacentral:lncRNA from 1 species